UGUUUGCGCAUUUACUGAUUUCUCAGGUGGUGCAGUUUGUGUUCGUCUCUCUCAUUCACUUUCAGGGCACCGAGUCAAGAUGUUCGUCUUUGCACUGCUUUCACCAACCACCUGGACUUUGCUCGCUCUCUUUCUCACCCUGUUAUUCCUGUAUGGCGUUUGGCCGUAUAGGUUUUUCAAAAACCUCGGAAUAAAGGGACCCAGGCUUCUGCCUUUUAUUGGAACAAUAAACCCCAGAAAGGGAUUUUUUGCUUAUGACCGGGAAUGCCAUGCCAAGUACGGAGACGUCUGGAGGUGAGUUCAGG